ACAUUACUUAAAUUAAAACACACAUACACUGUGACUGCGUAUCGGGGUGUCUGCGUUGUUAACUUAACAACAGUGGAUCGAUACAAAGGGUGUAUGGAGGCCUAAC
rnacentral:sRNA from 1 species